rnacentral:lncRNA from 1 species
ACAGGCAUUGUAUCCGACUGGGCCGACCACAUAGAAAUUAAAGAUGAGGAUCUGAUUCAGAGGCAGCUGCAGGUCUUUUUCUGCCGUGUGGUGUCACUGGGUCCAGCGAUAUUUAAGGUGACCGUGUCAUGAUGAAAAACAACACAAGAACAGACAGAGGUGGAGAUGGAGGGACUGCGGAUGGAGCAGCCAGGCUGUGUUUCUGCUCUGCACAGACACCAGAACAAGAGCUGCAGCCUGCAAAUGGAUCCUAAUAAAAUGAAGAGUUGCCCGGAUACUUUCUUCUUCUUUUACCAACUGCGCCCUGCGGAGGCUCUAUGGCCCUGGAUGGCGCGGAUUUAUCUACUUCUUUUUCAUCACAUGGUUUUUAAAGUUCUUCGGACCCAGCCCCAGCGUCGCCAAUCGGCUUCCCUCUUGGAGAGAGUGGACCAAUCAGCGACAGUCUUUGAUGAAUAUUCAUGAGUCCGAGAUUCAAACCUUUGAGCGAGUUUGUCUUGGUCCACAGCAUCAUACCUAGGACUUUUCACAGGCACAAACUACAUUUUCUUAUGAAUGGAAAGAGAAAAAAUCAGUUCGGCUUAAAUUGGGACUCAUCCUUCACUGAGAUCAUAGAAGGAAAACAACAAAAGCAAGAC